rnacentral:lncRNA from 1 species
GUAUUAUUAGCUGAGAAAUAGACAAGGAGAAUAUAAGAAAGAGCCCAGAAAUCUGACAUGAAAAGUUGAUGUGGGGAAGAAUUUGGUUUUGGUAGUAAGCCAACUAGAUAUUCAUUUGCAAAAAUUAGAAUCUUGGGGCAGUGGCAGGGGUGGUGCUGUGGUGUGUCCUGGGCUGGAACCCCGUGUGGUUCAGCUCUCCGGUACCGACCUCGGUCUCCCGCAUCCUGCUCUGGCCCUGCCACCUGCAGCCUGAGCACAGCCGCGUCCCACAGGUGGGGACCGGGCAAUAAGAGAGCUCCAACAAUAGCAGCCCAGAGACUGAAACGCAACUAUCUUCUGCUUUAAAAAGACCCGGUGCCUUACGUCUGUGGUCCCUUCCAAUAUUGCUGAAUGGCACUACGUGAUCUGAGGCCUUCAGAUGACUCCUUGCAAAGGUGGCUAUUAUCACGGACAAGUAAUUUUUCCCAGAGAAUUUCCUUUUAAACUUCGUAGUAUUUGUACGGUAACUCCCUGUGGAAGGUUUCAGUGCUGUACGAGGCUGCGUCUUCCCGUCAUGGAUCUCCAUCCAGACCACCUGGCCUCGUCCGUCUCCACCCUGCAGACCAGGAUCCUUAGCUUCCGGAUGGAGAAGGGCCCCACUCUGGGCAUUUAGAGACGCCUGACUUCAUGAAAAGAUAACUGGCAGCACAUAGUUUAGCGUUUAACUCAAAAGACAAAGUCUUUUGUGGAUAAUUUCCUUAAGUCGUGGAGGAAAUGAAACAAAAACAGAAAGCACGAGACAACGCAGUAGCAGAUCCCAGACCCUCCCCUUAUCAGACGGGGCUCCGGACGGGGAGAUGCUCCACGGCCAGGACCAGCUUCAGCUCCUCAACCUCUCUGGCUUCAGCAGGCCCACUGGUCCCAUGGCCUCCUGGGCUGGCCCUGACCUACUUGUCUGUCAUGGUUGGGUGUGCAGCCUUCGCCUACACAGUCAGGUUAAAAAAUAAAUAAAGGGUUUCCAAUUCUGCAUAUAAGGAGCUUAGAAGACACCAUUCCACCUACCAAGAAAUAAAAAGCUGAGCAGUCUAAACA